AUGCGGAAGUCCUGCCUUAGAGGACUCCAUCUCCCAGAAGGCCACGCGGGCAGCCUAGCGCGCUGGCCAAAGCCAAGCAGCGGCGAUAAGGGCCCCGAGCCCCGCAGGUCCCCCGGCCCACCCCCAGGGGACACCACCCUGACCCCGCCAGGCUCCCUCUUAUCCCGCGGCACAGGCGCCGCUCGGCCCAGCCCGGCUCCAGCCCUGAGCUGUCCCCGCGGCUGCGUGGACAGUUGCCGAGGUCGGGGUCGCACGCUCCGACGCGCCGCCGCCCACACCCCCUGCUCCCGCCGGCGUGGAGUCGGGGCUGUCCGCGGCGCAGGCUGGAGCGGACACGGUGCGCGGACCAGAAGGAACGCACGGCCCGGCUCAGAAACGCGGCCACCACGGAGGACCCGUGAGGACAGAACCAGGCACAGAAUGGGAGCAGAGCUGAGGAGAACGUGUCGGGACAGGCAUGGAUGGGUGAGGACGAGAACGUGUCAGGGCAGGCACGCAGUCCAGUGGUCGGGAUGCUCACCCUCCUCCUCCCGGGAUGCCUCCGGUCAUCGGGCUCUCCCACGUGGGAGAAUUGGCCUGCGCUCCUUCCCGGAUUCAGCCCCGUCUGCCGAGUGA
rnacentral:lncRNA from 1 species